rnacentral:rRNA from 1 species
CCUACGGGGGGCUGCAGUGGGGAAUAUUGGACAAUGGGGGCAACCCUGAUCCAGCCAUGCCGCGUGUGUGAAGAAGGCCUUCGGGUUGUAAAGCACUUUCAGUGAGGAGAAAGGUGGUUGUGUUAAUAGCGCAACUAAUUGAUGUUACUCACAGAAGAAGCACCGGCUAACUCCGUGCCAGCAGCCGCGGUAAUACGGAGGGUGCAAGCGUUAAUCGGAAUUACUGGGCGUAAAGCGCACGCAGGCGGUUAAUUAAGUUGGGUGUGAAAGCCCCGGGCUCAACCUGGGAAUUGCAUUCAAGACUGGUUAGCUAGAGUCUCGUAGAGGGGGGUAGAAUUCCAUGUGUAGCGGUGAAAUGCGUAGAGAUAUGGAGGAAUACCGGUGGCGAAGGCGGCCCCCUGGACGAAGACUGACGCUCAGGUGCGAAAGCGUGGGGAGCAAACAGGAUUAGAUACCCCAGUAGUC